GCUUCGGUAGCUCAGUGGUAGAGCGGAAGAUUGCAGAUCUUCAGGUCAUGUGUUCGAACCACAUUCGGAGCU
rnacentral:tRNA from 1 species